rnacentral:rRNA from 1 species
ACGAACGCUGGCGGCGUGCUUAACACAUGCAAGUCGAACGAGGUCCAUUCAGUAGCAAUACUGAUGAAGGCCGAGUGGCGAACGGGUGAGUAACACGUGAGGAACCUAUCCUGGUCUCUGGGAUAACAGUCGGAAACAACUGCUAAUACCGGAUGCCGUCGGAGCGCUGCAUGGCGCACUGACGAAAGGGUUACUGGAUCAGGAGGGUCUCGCGGCCUAUCAGCUUGUUGGUGGGGUAACGGCCUACCAAGGCAUCGACGGGUAGCUGGUCUGAGAGGAUGAUCAGCCACACUGGGACUGAGACACGGCCCAGACUCCUACGGGAGGCAGCAGUGGGGAAUCUUGCGCAAUGGGCGAAAGCCUGACGCAGCAACGCCGCGUGCGGGAAGAAGGCCCUCGGGUUGUAAACCGCUUUCAGAAGGAACGAAACUGACGGUACUUUCAGAAGAAGGUGCGGCCAACUACGU